rnacentral:rRNA from 1 species
AGUGAACGCUGGCGGUAGGCCUAACACAUGCAAGUCGAACGGCAGCACAGGAGAGCUUGCUCUCUGGGUGGCGAGUGGCGGACGGGUGAGGAAUACAUCGGAAUCUGCCCAGUCGUGGGGGAUAACGUAGGGAAACUUACUCUAAUACCGCAUACGACCUUCGGGUGAAAGAGGGGGAUCGCAAGACCUCUCGCGAUUGGAUGAGCCGAUGUCGGAUUGGCUAGUUGGCGGGGUAAUGGCCCACCAAGGCGACGAUCCGUAGCUGGUCUGAGAGGGUGAUCAGCCACACUGGAACUGAGACACGGUCCAGACUCCUACGGGAGGCAGCAGUGGGGAAUAUUGGACAAUGGGCGCAAGCCUGAUCCAGCCAUACCGCGUGGGUGAAGAAGGCCUUCGGGUUGUAAAGCCCUUUUGUUGGGAAAGAAAUCUUUCAGGCUAAUACCCUGGGAGGAUGACGGUACCCAAAGAAUAAGCACCGGCUAACUUCGUG